UUAUUGGAGAGUUUGAUCCUGGCUCAGGAUGAACGCUGGCGGCGUGCCUAAUACAUGCAAGUCGAGCGAACCUGAGGGAGCUUGCUCCCAAAGGUUAGCGGCGGACGGGUGAGUAACACGUGGGCAACCUGCCUGUAAGACUGGGAUAACUUCGGGAAACCGGAGCUAAUA
rnacentral:rRNA from 1 species